AGCGAACGCUGGCGGCAGGCCUAACACAUGCAAGUCGAACGAACUCUUCGGAGUUAGUGGCGGACGGGUGAGUAACACGUGGGAACGUGCCUUUUGGUUCGGAAUAACUCAGGGAAACUUGUGCUAAUACCGAAUGUGCCCUUCGGGGGAAAGAUUUAUCGCCAUUUGAGCGUCCCGCGUCUGAUUAGCUAGUUGGUGAGGUAACGGCUCACCAAGGCGACGAUCAGUAGCUGGUCUGAGAGGAUGACCAGCCACACUGGGACUGAGACACGGCCCAGACUCCGACGGGAGGCAGCAGUGGGGAAUCUUGCGCAAUGGGCGAAAGCCUGACGCAGCCAUGCCGCGUGAAUGAUGAAGGUCUUAGGAUUGUAAAAUUCUUUCACCGGGGACGAGAAUGACGGUACCCGGAGAAGAAGCCCCGGCUAACUUCGUG
rnacentral:rRNA from 1 species